GGGCGGUUAGCUCAGCUGGUUAGAGCAUCUGAUUUACAUUCAGAAGGCCGAGGGUUCGAUCCCUUCACCGCCCA
rnacentral:tRNA from 1 species